CCGGCCGACCUCCGAUUCGAACACGGCCCUCCGUGGCGCAUCGAUGCCCAACCUCCCCUGGAAACCCUCCGUGCCUUCGGCCAACUUGUGCCACCCCUGGAAAGGGGACGAUGGCACGGUGGAGAUGGUGUCGGUGGCUGACCUGCCCGGGAGAAGGCAGGGGCAGAGCUGAGCAGCACCCGCCAGCCUCAGACCUCACAGCUCCUGCCAUCACCCUGAGACAUCUUCUGAAGCUCUUCCAGCUUCUGCAGAAAGGUGGUGGCAAAAGAAGAGGUACUGAGAAGAAGACAGCAUCUCCUCACCUUGAUUUUGUGUCCUCCUAUGCUGUCUGCUGGAUUGGAGCCUGGAGCUGCCUGCCUGACCCCAUCCCCUUUGGACAGCUCAUGGUUUGUGCUGCAGAGGGAACAAAUCAUCCUGCCAGGCGGUUGGUGAUCACCAAACGGGGCAAGUCCAGCCCAGCAGGACACACACAAGACACAGCCACGUGAGGGCUCAACCUAGCCUCCUCCAUGCUCAUGUUUUCUGCCUGUCCCAGGAGACAUGUCCUCGUGCACAUACCUAAGCAAAGCUGAAUAUGCCCCAAAUGGUCGUUAGGUGUCAGCAGUACUGAAAAGUGAUUCAGAAACUCCUGUCUUUGAUUCUUACUCAUUUUUCAUCAGAUUUUUGCCCAAGCCGAAGAACUACUUUUGCUUAUACUGGCCUUUCCGUGAAGGCGUUGUGGUUUAGCCCCAGUCAGCAACUAAGGACCACACAGUGGAUUGGUUACAUCCCCACCCCCACCCCCCGGUGGGAAGGGGGAGAAAAUCAGAAGAGUAGAAGUGAGGAAAAUCAUGAGCUGAGAUAAAGACAGUUUAAUAGGUAAAGCAAAAGCUGCACACACAAGCAAAGCAAAACAAGGAAUUCAUUCACUUCUUCCCAUUGGCAGGCAGGUGUUCAGCCAUCCCCAGGGAAGCAGGGCUCCAUCACAUAUAACAGUUACUUGGGAAAACAAAUGCCACAAUUCCAAACGUCGUGUGUCCCCCCCCUUCUUCUUCCCCCAGCUUUAUAUGCUGAGCAUGACAUCAUAUGAUAUGGAAUAUACCUUUGGCCAGUUUGGAUCAGCUCUCCUGGCUGUGUCCCCUCCCAGCUUCUUGUGCACCUGGCAAAGCAUGGGAAGCUGGAAAAGUCCUUGAUUAGUAUAAGCACUACUUAGCAACAACUGAAACAUCGGUGUGUUAUUAACAUUAUUCUCAUACUAAAGUCAAAACACAGCACUGUCCCAGCUACAGUGAAGAAAAUGAACUCUAUUCCGGCCAAAAUCAUGACAGAAGGGCUUGGUAACACUGUUAAAUUCAACAAGAAAGAGGUGUUAGGCCACAGUCUAACUGCUGUGUGACACAGGUAAGGCCGGUUUAGUUGAGCUGAAACGCGGCAGCCUGUGUUAAGCAGCCAGGGCUGGCCUGGGGCUGUGCAGCCUUCCUCUUGCAGACACCACACGAAUGUUUUGGCAAAAACACACUGUGGUUCGCUCGCUGCAGAGGACAGAGAUGGCAAACUCAUACCACCAGAGCUGAUGGCAGAGCCGGGACCAAGUGUGCAGCAGCAUCUCUUGUGCUUGGUUCCACUUUUCUCAGAGGACCUCUGUAUUCAGCCAUGUGUCUUGAAUGAUUUUUGCCUCCUCUUACACCCCAUUCCUUCAGCUUUUCUCCCUACCAUGCAGGAACUGGUGAAGCUUUAAAAACUCCAGAGAUGUGAUAGUAAAGAAGUAGGUCUUCAGAAAAGUUCUAAGUUGUUCUCCUAAAAGCACUCAUAUUUGGUUGAGUCAGGAAGUAGUUUGCUGGCAGCAAAAUUGCUUGUAUUCCAUAAAGCACAAAUGAGUCCUGUUUCAUGCUUCAAGCUUGCCAAGAUAUCCUUCAACAACUCCAUCCCCGGGAACUUUUACUGAAAAACCAGCAGCAGCAGCGCAGCUGCACCCCAGCUACCUUUGGACCCCCCCAAGCUGGACCCCAAGGAUAAAACAGAGACGGUCAUUCUAGAUAUGGUCCCAAAAGUCAGAUGUUAAUCAAAAUUAAACAGCAUCUGGGAUUGGUAUGCAUCAGUCUUCCCCAGAGGGGGGGAUUUUUGAGUAAGCCAUCAAAAUAUUUCCUAAGUAAGACCACAAAAAGCCCACAUACACAAUCAGGUCAAAAAUUUCCCUAGUGCAGGAUGAUGCUGAUGUAAGUUUCCUUUGAGACACAGUUGUCUCACAUUGCCUGUGCUGCAGCGUCUUCAGCUUCUGCAGUCAACUCCACUUAUGUCCUAAUUAGGAUGAGGUUUUUUCCUGUUGGUGUGAUGCAUCCAGCCGUUACUCUGCGACGCUCAUCUUGACAAUAGUAAAGGUGAAGCCAAGGUGGUGGCAGGCUCUUUGGUAGCUCUGUGAUCCAGAGGAUAUGGUCCAUGACUCAGGCCGCCUCAGGCACUCACAGCAAGCUGUGCUGCUCUGCUAGGAUCUCUGGAGGAGAAGCCCAAACCUUUUCCUCCCUUCCAGACCUUCUACCACAGAAGGACCACUGCUGGGGCUGGCACAGCCCCUCGCUGGUCUCACCCGCAUGGCUGGCUGUGCUGUGUCAUGGCUCUGGUGAGACCUGCCAUCCCAUGCUGGGUGACAAACGCUUUGCAUGACAACCCCAGCCGUGACAUACCCACCUCUCCUGGUUUGAAUGCUACUCUCAUGAGUGCAAAGUCCCCAUAACUGCUUCCUUCACCCCAGCAAGGUGUCGCUUGUAGCAAAGAAUUUGUCUUUGAAGUAAAUGCCUUUUCAAGCAAAGUCAGAGGUUUGCACAAGACAGUUAUUAUUGUACCUCACAGAAAAUUUGGUUUUAAUGGAAAAAAGCUGUGAAACAAGCCAUGAUGCCUCAAAAUCUCAGGUGGGUGUUCUGUGAUGCCAGCACAGCAAAUCUUAAAACACCCAAGAAGAGAUGUGACAGAUCACCUCCACUGGGUUGCCAGGAACCCAAUCCAGCCCUGCACUGAUGAGCUCCUCCUUGAUCUAACCACCACCAACCCAUCGUACUGACUUCUCCAUAAAAGCACCAUUUUUGGGUAGUGCCAUCAAACCCCCAAGGUGUGGCAGACCAGGACUUCUUCACAGGGAGAACUACAGAAGAGGAAUUAAAGCCACUGACACACCCAUCUGCUUCCCCUUGGCACAGCUUUACACCACACACCUCCUGAGAAGCAGCAGCUGAAGCUCUCACCCUUGGACACCAUCCUGCCCAUCUACUCCUUUUCCUCACACCCAGCUUUAAGAUUAGACCCAGUGUCACUUUGUCCUUUUUUUUUUAAGCCUUGUGCCAUACGUUCUGGGCAACUCAGGAACCUGUGGCCAGGCAGAUCCCACAUAAACCUUUAAUUCUUUUGGUUUUUUUGAUAGGAAAGUAUUCCUGCAGCUUCUCAGCAGGAUUAAAAAAAGUGCACCUGAGCUUGGUGCCACUACCCUCCAGAUCUGCCUGUAACCAAGCAGCCAUCAGAAUCAGCUUGGGUUGUAAAACUGAAGAAACACUUUAAAGGACUGUGCUGAAAUCUUGAAAUUUUAUUUCAACAAAAGUGUUCUGACAAAAUGCUUUAUUUUGACCCUGAAUAAUUCAGAACACUGAAGAGCUACAAUUAUUUUUUUAUUGAGUAGGCAUUUAUAGCUAUGUGUUCAGAAAAAAACAA